CCUACGGGUGGCUGCAGUGAGGAAUAUUGGUCAAUGGGCGCUAGCCUGAACCAGCCAAGUAGCGUGAAGGAGGACUGCCCUAUGGGUUGUAAACUUCUUUUAUAGGGGAAUAAAGGGCAGGAUGUAUACGGUCCUGCAGGUACCUGAUGAAUAAGGAUCGGCUAACUCCGUGCCAGCAGCCGCGGUAAUACGGAGGAUCCGAGCGUUAUCCGGAUUUAUUGGGUUUAAAGGGUGCGUAGGCGGGUUGUUAAGUCAGUUGUGAAAGUUUGCGGCUCAACCGUAGCAUUGCAGUUGAUACUGGCAUCCUUGAGUACAGUAGAGGUAGGCGGAAUUCGUGGUGUAGCGGUGAAAUGCAUAGAUAUCACGAAGAACCCCGAUUGCGAAGGCAGCGUGCUGGACUGUAACUGACGCUGAUGCACGAAAGUGCGGGUAUCAAACAGGAUUAGAUACCCUGGUAGUC
rnacentral:rRNA from 1 species